UACGUAGGGGGCAAGCGUUGUCCGGAUUUAUUGGGCGUAAAGAGCGUGUAGGCGGCCGCACAGGUCCGUUGUGAAAACUGGAGGCUUAACCUUCAGACGUCGAUGGAAACCGUGCGGCUAGAGUCCGGAAGAGGAGAAUGGAAUUCCUGGUGUAGCGGUGAAAUGCGCAGAUAUCAGGAAGAACACCCGUGGCGAAGGCGGUUCGCUAGGACGGUACUGACGCUGAGACGCGAAAGCGUGGGGAGCGAACAGG
rnacentral:rRNA from 1 species